CUUGGUGGCGAUAGCGAAGAGGUCACACUCGUUCCCAUGCCGAACACGAUCGUUAAGCUCUUCAGCGCCGAUGGUAGUUGGGGGUUUCCCCCUGUGAGAGUAGGACGUUGCCAAGC
rnacentral:rRNA from 3 species